rnacentral:rRNA from 1 species
UCUCUAUAACAUACCACCCCUGAAUGUGCCUGAUCUCAUCUGAUCUUUGAAGAUAACCAAGGUCAGUCCUGGUUAGUACUUGGAUGUGGGACUUCCUGGGAAAGAA